GACUUGCCUUGGCAGGACAUAGACUAAAAUUGCAAUAACAGAGAUUGACAUCACCCCUGCACAAGGAUGACAUUUCAGAUUCAUGAAGCGUUCUAUAAUGGU